CCUUUGGUGGCAUAGUUGGUAGCGCCUUGGCACAAAAAUUAUGUGUCCUAGGUUCGAAUCCUGGCCAGGGGC